UACGAAGGGGGCUAGCGUUGUUCGGAUUUACUGGGCGUAAAGCGCACGUAGGCGGAUCGUUAAGUCGGGGGUGAAAUCCUGGAGCUCAACUCCAGAACUGCCUUCGAUACUGGCGAUCUUGAGUCCGGAAGAGGUGAGUGGAACUCCUAGUGUAGAGGUGGAAUUCGUAGAUAUUAGGAAGAACACCAGUGGCGAAGGCGGCUCACUGGUCCGGUACUGACGUGAGGUGCGAAAGCGUGGGGAGCAAACAGG
rnacentral:rRNA from 1 species